UACGUAGGGUGCGAGCGUUAUUCGGAAUUACUGGGCGUAAAGCGUGCGCAGGCGGUUCUGUAAGUCAGCUGUGAAAGCCCCGGGCUUAACCUGGGAAUUGCGGUUGAAACUACAGGGCUAGAAUCUGGCAGAGGGGGGUGGAAUUCCACGUGUAGCAGUGAAAUGCGUAGAGAUGUGGAGGAACACCGAUGGCGAAGGCAGCCCCCUGGGCUGAGAUUGACGCUCAGGCACGAAAGCGUGGGGAGCAAACAGG
rnacentral:rRNA from 1 species